rfam:Triticum urartu cultivar G1812 contig493701, whole genome shotgun sequence.
AGUAGCUCAGUGGUAGAGCGGUCGGUUGUUAACUGACUGGUCGUAGGUUCGAAUCCUACUU